rnacentral:piRNA from 1 species
ACUCUUGUAGGAGGCUUUUUAGGACA